rnacentral:rRNA from 1 species
UACAGAGGGGGCAAGCGUUUAUUCGGAAUUAUUGGGCGUAAAGGGCGCGUAGGCGGCGAUUCAAGUGACGGGUGAAAUACCCUCGGCUUAACCGAGGAACUGCCUGUCAGACUGGGUUGCUUGAGACCGGGAGAGGCGAGUGGAAUUCCCAGUGUAGCGGUGAAAUGCGUAGAUAUUGGGAGGAACACCAGUGGCGAAGGCGGCUCGCUGGACCGGAACUGACGCUGAGGCGCGAAAGCGUGGGGAGCAAACAGG